rnacentral:rRNA from 1 species
GAUGAACGCUGGCGGCGUGCCUAAUACAUGCAAGUCGAGCGAACAGAUAAGGAGCUUGCUCCUUUGACGUUAGCGGCGGACGGGUGAGUAACACGUGGGUAACCUACCUAUAAGACUGGGAUAACUUCGGGAAACCGGAGCUAAUACCGGAUAACAUUUAGAACCGCAUGGUUCUAAAGUGAAAGAUGGUUUUGCUAUCACUUAUAGAUGGACCCGCGCCGUAUUAGCUAGUUGGUAAGGUAACGGCUUACCAAGGCGACGAUCCGUAGCCGACCUGAGAGGAUGAUCGGCCACACUGGAACUGAGACACGGUCCAGACUCCUACGGGAGGCAGCAGUAGGGAAUAUUGGGCAAUGGGCGAAAGCCUGACGGAGCCACGCCGCGUGAGUGAUGAAGGGCUUCGGAUCGUAAAACUCUGUUAGUAGGGAAGAAGAAAUGUGUAUGUAACUGUGCACGUCUUGACGGUACCUAAACAGAAAGCAACGGCUAACUACGUG